GACGAACGCUGGCGGCGUGCUUAACACAUGCAAGUCGAACGGAAAGGCCCUGCUUUUGUGGGGUGCUCGAGUGCGAACGGGUGAGUAACACGGGAGUAACCUGCCCUUGACUUUGGGAUAACUUCAGGAAACUGGGGCUAAUACCGGAUAGGAGCUCCUGCUGCAUGGUGGGGGUUGGAAAGUUUCGGCGGUUGGGGAUGGACUCGCGGCUUAUCAGCUUGUUGGUGGGGUAGUGGCUUACCAAGGCUUUGACGGGUAGCCGGCCUGAGAGGGUGACCGGCCACAUUGGGACUGAGAUACGGCCCAGACUCCUACGGGAGGCAGCAGUGGGGAAUAUUGCACAAUGGGCGGAAGCCUGAUGCAGCAACGCCGCGUGCGGGAUGACGGCCUUCGGGUUGUAAACCGCUUUCGCCUGUGACGAAGCGUGAGUGACGGUAAUGGGUAAAGAAGCACCGGCUAACUACGUG
rnacentral:rRNA from 1 species